rnacentral:rRNA from 1 species
UACGGAGGGUGCGAGCGUUGUUCGGAAUCACUGGGCGUAAAGCGCGUGUAGGCGGCCCACUAAGUCUGAUGUGAAAGCCCGGGGCUCACCCCCGGAAGUGCAUUGGAAACUGGUGGACUCGAGUCCCGGAGAGGAGAGUGGAAUUCCUGGUGUAGCGGUGAAAUGCGUAGAUAUCAGGAGGAACACCGGUGGCGAAGGCGGCGCUCUGGAAGGUGACUGACGCUGAGACGCGAAAGCGUGGGGAGCAAACAGG